GAGAUAGUUCAGAUGGUAGAGCAUGAGAUUCUGAAUCUCAGGGUUGUGGGUUUGAGCCUUGUGUUGGGCA